rnacentral:rRNA from 1 species
CCUACGGGGGGCUGCAGUGAGGAAUAUUGGUCAAUGGGCGAGAGCCUGAACCAGCCAAGUCGCGUGAGGGAGUACGGCCCUAUGGGGUGUAAACCGCUUUUGUCGGGGAGCAAAAGCCGGACGGGGCCGGCUGUGAGAGUACCCGAAGAAAAAGCAGCGGCUAACUCCGGGCCAGCAGCCGCGGUAAUACGGAGGAUGCGAGCGUUAUCCGGAUUUAUUGGGUUUACAGGGUGCGCAGGCGGAUUUGUAAGUCAGUGGUCAAAGCGGGGGGCUCACCCCCAUCCCGCCGUUGAAACUGGGGCUCUAGCGUGUGCGAGAGUUAUGCGGAAUGCGUGGUGUAGCGGUGACAUGCAUAGAUCUCACGCAGAACCCCGAUUGCGACGGCAGCAUACCGGUGCACAACUGACGCUCAGGCACGAAAGCGUGGGUAUCGAACAGGAUUAGAUACCCCAGUAGUC